rnacentral:rRNA from 1 species
AGUGAACGCUGGCGGUAGGCCUAACACAUGCAAGUCGAACGGCAGCACAGUAAGAGCUUGCUCUUACGGGUGGCGAGUGGCGGACGGGUGAGGAAUACAUCGGCAUCUACUUUUUCGUGGGGGAUAACGUAGGGAAACUUACGCUACUACCGCAUACGACCUACGGGUGAAAGCAGGGGAUCUUCGGACCUUGCGCGAUUGAAUUAGCCGAUGUCGGAUUAGCUAGUUGGCGGGGUAAAGGCCCACCAAGGCGACGAUCCGUAGCUGGUCUGAGAGGAUGAUCAGCCACACUGGAACUGAGACACGGUCCAGACUCCUACGGGAGGCAGCAGUGGGGAAUAUUGGACAAUGGGCGCAAGCCUGAUCCAGCCAUACCGCGUGGGUGAAGAAGGCCUUCGGGUUGUAAAGCCCUGUUGUUGGGAAAGAAAAGCAGCAGGUGAAUACCCCGCUGUUCUGACGGUACCCAAAGAAUAAGCACCGGCUAACUUCGUG